rnacentral:rRNA from 1 species
CCUACGGGUGGCAGCAGUGAGGAAUAUUGGUCAAUGGGCGUAAGCCUGAACCAGCCAAGUCGCGUGAGGGAUGAAGGUUCUAUGGAUCGUAAACCUCUUUUAUAAGGGAAUAAAGUGCGGGACGUGUCCCGUUUUGUAUGUACCUUAUGAAUAAGGAUCGGCUAACUCCGUGCCAGCAGUCGCGGUAAUACGGAGGAUUCGAGCGUUAUCCGGAUUUAUUGGGUUUAAAGGGUGCGUAGGCGGCCUUUCAAGUCAGCGGUGAAAGUCUGUGGCUCAACCAUAGAAUUGCAGUGGAAACUGGGAGGCUUGAGUAUGUUAGAGGCAGGCGGAAUGCGUGGUGUAGCGGUGAAAUGCGUAGAUAUCACGCAGAACCCCAGUUGCGAAGGCGGCCUGCUGGGCCAUGACUGACGCUGAUGCACGAAAGCGUGGGGAUCAAACAGGAUUAGAUACCCUAGUAGUC